rnacentral:rRNA from 1 species
AUUGAACGCUGGCGGCAUGCCUUACACAUGCAAGUCGAACGGCAGCACGGGUGCUUGUGCCUGGUGGCGAGUGGCGGACGGGUGAGUAAUACAUCGGAACAUGUCCUGUAGCGGGGGAUAGCCCGGCGAAAGCCGGAUUAAUACCGCAUACGGUCUACGGACGAUAGGGUGGGACCGUCGGGCCUCGCGCUGUUGGGUUGGCCGAUGGCUGAUUAGGUAGUUGGUGGGGUAUAGGCCUAACAAGGCGACGGUCAGUAUCUGGUCUGAGAGGACGACCAGCCACCCUGGGACUGAGAAACGGCACCGACUCCUACGGGAGGCCGCAGUGGGGAAUUUUGGACAAUGGGGGAAAGCCUGAUCCAGCAAUGCCGGGUGUGUGAAGAAGGCCUUCGGGUUGUAAAGCACUUUUGUCCGGAAAGAAAUACUUGGCCCUAAUACGGUCGGGGGAUGACGGUACCGGAAGAAUAAGCACCGGCUAACUACGUG